GAUUAGAGUUUGAUUCCAUGGCUCAGGACGAACGCUGGCGGCGUGCCUAACACAUGCAAGUCGAGCGGAGUAUUUAGGUUUACUUAGAUACUUAGCGGCGGACGGGUGAGUAACGCGUGAGCAACCUGCCUUAUACAGGGGAAUAGCCUUGGGAAACCAGGAUUAAUGCCCCAUGACAUUUUCUUGUUGCAUGAUGAGAAAAUCAAAACGGUUAAGUGGUAUAAGAUGGGCUCGCGUCUGAUUAGCUAGUUGGUGGGGUAAAAGCCUACCAAGGCGAGGGUCAGUAGCCGGCCUGAGAGGGUGAACGGCCACACUGGAACUGAGACACGGUCCAGACUCCUACGGGAGGCAGCAGUGGGGAAUAUUGCACAAUGGGGGAAACCCUGAUGCAGCGACGCCGCGUGAGCGAAGAAGGUUUUCGGAUCGUAAAGCUCUGUCCUUGGAGAAGAAAAUGAC
rnacentral:rRNA from 1 species